rfam:Gossypium arboreum cultivar AKA8401 contig_110777_1, whole genome shotgun sequence.
AACCAAUGGUCAGGGCACCUUCUCAGUAAAUCCUUUUAUGUCUCCCAUGCAUCGUAGAGUGUUUCUAAAUCCAUAUGCAUAAAAGAAGAGAUAUCAUUAUGUAAAUU